UUGUCUCUCUUUUCUUCUCUUUAUUCCCGUCAAACACAGUGUCUACCUCCUGAUGGCUGUCCAGAUUUCCAAUGACAGCCAUUUUGGUCAGGGAAUAACAUAACAUUUUCUUCAUGUCCAGGGAAAAAUCAUACGGUAUUUCAAUUGAUCUUCUUCUGUCCUUUACAUAAAUUGAUAAAAUAUAGUUUCAUGUAAAAAUCACGAAACUUAUGAUUUAUAAAAGCUGCAUUAGGUUUUGAACUAUAUACUGAUAUCUAUCAUCAUGGAUGCAAAAGCUUCAUUUUCGGCAGAAAUACAUUAGUUAUAAUAAUUUAGUUCACAACAAAAAAUGUCCAAUAACAGUGGUGUCACCAAGAUAAAGUGAGUAGUGUUUCUGUAUGCUAGUGAAUUUAAGUUCGCAAUGUCUGGUCAUGUGAUCUCAACAUGGCGACUGCCAUGAGGGUGGUCCUCACCUUAAUCAGGGUAUCUGCAUUAAAUCAAAGGUUUUUUAAGACCUUUUUUAAGACCUGCACAAAUAAAACUACUGGAAACUAAUGGUAACAUCCUAUAAAAUGUGACCCUGGACCACAAAACCAGUCGUUCACCGUAGUCAACCGGAUCCGGGCCGUAUCCAGGUGAGACCAAGGACCUGCACCUUGACACGACCACAACGCAGCCCUGACGUAUCAGCAGAGAUUGAGUCAACUAGAUCAUCCACUGUGAGGGCCUCAUCGACACGACAGCCACGACAGAGUUCCUCAACAACCGUCCAUACCGGCGUGAUGAAUACGAUCCUCAAUUGGAUGGAACUGAAAUAAAUACUUUUAAUGUCGCGAUCCUAUUGGACUUAUGAUAGCAACCUGAAUUGUAACAAAGCACUGUUGGCCAGAGGAGAACUGGCACCCCGACUAAGCCUGGUUUCUCCCAAGGUUUUUUUCUCCAUUUUAACACCAAUUUGCCACUUGUCUUCCACCUAAUGUCACCUGAUGGAGUUUGGGUUCCUUGCCGCUGUCGCCUUUGGCUUGCUUAGUUGGGGACACUUGACUUGACAUUUGAUAUUCAACAGUGCUUUGAUCUGCCUGCAUUGACACUAUUCCUUAAGAGCUGCUGUGCAGCCAAACAAUGUACCAGUUAUCAAUGUAAAGCUGCUUUGACACAAUCUACAUUGUAAAAAGCGCUAUAUAAAUAAAGGUGACUUGACUUGA